AUAUAUAUACACACACACACAUACAUACAGAAAAUUUAAUAAAAAUUAUAUAUGUGUGUGUGUGUGUGUGUGUGUGUGU